UACGGUGGGAGCAAGCGUUGUUCGGAUUUACUGGGCGUAAAGGGCGCGUAGGCGGCGUGGUAAGUCACUUGUGAAAUCUCUGAGCUUAACUCAGAACGGCCAAGUGAUACUGCUGUGCUAGAGUGCAGAAGGGGCAAUCGGAAUUCUUGGUGUAGCGGUGAAAUGCGUAGAUAUCAAGAGGAACACCUGAGGUGAAGACGGGUUGCUGGGCUGACACUGACGCUGAGGCGCGAAAGCCAGGGGAGCAAACGGG
rnacentral:rRNA from 1 species